rnacentral:tRNA from 1 species
GUCCUCAUAGUUCAAUGGAUAGAACAGCCCCCUCCUAAGGGGCAGAUGUAGGUUCGAUUCCUGCUGGGGAUACCA